rnacentral:lncRNA from 1 species
CUCGACAGACCGGCCCGGCACUCGCCAAAACCGGUAGCCCGUCACGUGAUUACCAUGGCAACUGCCGGGUGUCCGGUAAAACCGGGACAAUGGACACCCGCCUUAAAAAUUUUAUCGUCAGAUGCCGACCCAGGACGCGAACUGUCCUCCCGCAUGGCACGCCAAUGUGUUACCAUGCGGCCAUCUAUUUUUUUUAUUAAAAACGUUUAUUUUUAUAAACAUUUUCUAUUAUAUUUAAUUUUAAAAAACACUCAAAAUGAUAAAUUAGAAAUACUUGGAAAUGGAAUUGUUUUAUAUCUUAAUAUUUGGAUCAUUUAAC